GACGAACGCUGGCGGCGUGCUUAACACAUGCAAGUCGAACGGAAAGGCCCUGCUUUUUUGGGGUGCUCGAGUGGCGACCGGGUGAGUUACACGUUAGUAACCUUCCCUUGACUUUGGGAUAACUUCAGGCCACUUGGGCUAUUACCGGAUAGGAUCUCCUGCUGCUUGGUGGGGGUUGGUAAGUUUCGGCGGUUGGGGAUGUACUCGCGGCUUAUCAUCUUGUUGGUGGGGUAGGUGCUUACCAAGGCUUUGACGGGUAGCCGGCCUGAGAGGGUGACCGGGCACAUGGGGACUGAGAUACGGGACAGACGACAAAGGGAGGCAGCAGAGGGGAAGAGUACAAAAGGGGAGGAAGCAUGAUGCAGCAAAGCAGCGUGCGGGAUGACGGCCUUCGGGUUGUAAACCGAAUUAGCCUGAGACGAAGCGAGAGUGACGGUAAUGGGUAAAGAAGCACCGGCUAACUACGUG
rnacentral:rRNA from 1 species